rnacentral:rRNA from 1 species
AGGACUGCCGGUGACAAACCGGAGGAAGGUGGGGAUGACGUCAAGUCCUCAUGGCCCUUAUGGGUAGGGCUUCACACGUCAUACAAUGGUCGGUACAGAGGGUUGCCAAGCCGCGAGGUGGAGCCAAUCCCAGAAAGCCGAUCGUAGUCCGGAUUGUUCUCUGCAACUCGAGAGCAUGAAGUCGGAAUCGCUAGUAAUCGUGGAUCAGAAUGUCACGGUGAAUACGUUCCCGGGUCUU